rnacentral:rRNA from 1 species
AGUGAACGCUGGCGGUAGGCCUAACACAUGCGAGUCGAACGGCAGCACAGUAACAAAUUGAUAAAAAGAAAGGAGAAUAGAGGAAGGGAGAGAAAAAAAAAGACAAAUACUUAUUCGUGGGGGAUCAAGUAGGGAAACUUACGCUAAUACCGCAUACGACCUACGGGUGAAAGCAGGGGAUCUUCGGACCUUGCGCGAUUGAAUGAGCCGAUGUCGGAUUAGCUAGUUGGCGGGGUAAAGGCCCACCAAGGCGACGAUCCGUAGCUGGUCUGAGAGGAUGAUCAGCCACACUGGAACUGAGACACGGUCCAGACUCCUACGGGAGGCAGCAGUGGGGAAUAUUGGACAAUGGGCGCAAGCCUGAUCCAGCCAUACCGCGUGGGUGAAGAAGGCCUUCGGGUUGUAAAGCCCUUUUGUUGGGAAUGAAAAGCAGCAGGUUAAUACCCCGCUGUUCUGACGGUACCCAAAGAAUAAGCACCGGCUAACUUCGUG